rnacentral:rRNA from 1 species
AGAGUUUGAUCAUGGCUCAGGAUGAACGUUAGCUACAGGCUUAACACAUGCAAGGUCGAGGGGCAGCAUGGUCUUAGCUUGCUAAGGCCGAUGGCGACCGGCGCACGGGUGAGUAACACGUAUCCAACCUGCCGUCUACUCUUGGACAGCCUUCUGAAAGGAAGAUUAAUACAAGAUGGCAUCAUGAGUUCACAUGUUCACAUGAUUAAAGGUUUUCCGGUAGACGAUGGGGAUGCGUUCCAUUAGAUAGUAGGCGGGGUAACGGCCCACCUAGUCUUCGAUGGAUAGGGGUUCUGAGAGGAACGGUCCCCCACAUUGGAACUGAGACACGGUACCAAACUCCUACGGGAGGCAGCA